rnacentral:lncRNA from 10 species
UGUGGAUAUGUCUGUGUGCAUGUUUGAAACAGAUCUGAACAGCUUCCCAUUUCAACUCCAUAGAUACGUGACUCUCCAAGUGCUUUAUUUUGAAAACUAGGACGUAGCACUUUGCAGAAGAAAAAUCAGUCCACUUGCUAUUAUUUAUGUGAUCGCUGAUCUGCUAGAUGGAUAUAGAAAGCACCAAGAAUUAUAAUAAUUUAUGGAGUAGAGCACUGGUUUACAAACAUAUUUCUCUGCCCGAGCUUUGUGUGUUUCUUUGCGUCUCGGGGCUCGUUCUGUGCAAUGGGAAUGGAGAAUAUUCAGAAUUUGAAGACAAGCCCGGCGAGCCGACUGCAUUCAUAGCUAAAAUUAAAGGAAUAAGUGAGCAGCUAUUUGUGGCAGACAGGACAUGAUCCAGGACCACUUAGGAAGGGUUAGUGUGGUUUCUCUGUGACAUUUCGCCACAUUGCAACAAAAGCCCUAGUAAGCACUGCCUUUGCUGAGCCAAGCCGGCUUUUUCUCUGCAUCGCCCUGAGCCACCGGCCUGAAGACAGGCAGCUGCACUUUUGGCUGUCCCAUCAGAGAGGCUGGGGCUAUUCAGUCGCUCCUACUCUCAGUUAAAGGCCCCAAGAGGAGACGGAGCCAAGGUGCGUCUAGGAUCCUGGUGAAAGCUUUCCAAGGUGGGGUUCCUCAGAACGCCGCAGCGGGGAUGGCUGUUGGGGGAGAUGUUUCUCUGGAAGCUUCUCAUGCUUAAUAAGACAGUCGUUUCUGUGUGCUCAUUGACUGUCAUCCGAGUUUUGGACCCAGGACAGCACCAUAUUAUGCUAGCCCCCCAGUGAUUGUUAAAGAGCUGCCGAUGAAUGGAAGAGAAACACAGGUGUGUUCUGGGGAUGGCUGCCUUACCGGCCUGGCACUGGCUUUGAUCAGAGUGACCUUUUCCUUCCAAACGAGAGCACUUUCGAGAGCCGGAGAGGAUGCUGGUAAUAGUGGCACAGGGACAGCAGAUGUGAACUGGGGCUGUCCUGGGCCUGCGCUGAGUUUGAGAGGCCUGUGUUGGCUGGAAGUGAUGCUUCAAGUCACACGGUGAAGCAAAAUCUAUCUUUGGUCUGCAGGGCAGCAGCUCCUCUGGUAGUGCAAUCCUCCAAGAUCUUCCUCACACAUCUUCGGACAGAGAGGGGCCACCAGAAUGAUCCAAGCAUCUCUUUUGCAAACAUUCAUCUGCUGCUGAGAUGCUCUGUGUGAGCCAAGGCCUCUCUCUCUCUCCUUCCUGGGCCUUCAGCACACACUGGCUGGCCUCGCUGUUUGGUGGGGGCCUUCUUAGGGGCCCACAGACCCCCUCCACUGCAACUCCUCAAAAUAGAGUUCUGAGGAGGUCUGUUUUCUGCCUGGCUGGUUCGCCGGGUCUGAGCCCUUGGAGGGCUAGUUUCGUGUCUGGGUCCUGUGGCUCCCAGAACAGGAUCUGGCCCAGAGCAGGAGCAGCAGUGGGUGCGUUGGGGCUGACCAGUGCCCUGCAGUGUCCAGAUGGGGGUGGUGGUGAAGAAUUUGCCUAGAAAAACGUGUCAAGGGUGGGUUGUAGUGGACGUGUCCAGCCACAACUCCCUGGGAAGUCAAAGCCUCAGAGUCUUACUCGGUGGGGCGAGAAGGAAGGGGCCAGGCACCAUGGGCUUUCAGGCAGGAGAGGAGGGGUUGCUUGAAAAUCCCUUCUGCAUUCUUGAAAUUUCCCUGGGGAGCUUCUGAGUUCAUCAGAACUUUCUAACUAGAGGGGAAGAGACAUGGAGUGAGCACCUCCUGUGUGCUAGGCCCUGGCAGGGGCUUUUGAAUCUCCUGUGUCCUUCAGUGCUCCAGCAGCCCAGGAAGGAAGGAUUGAGAAUCCACAUGUUUGUAGGUGAAAAACUAAGAUUAAGGGGGGCAAAGCUGCUUUUGAGUCCUGCUGUCAGACUCAAAGGCCUGUGUAGUUUCUC